rnacentral:rRNA from 1 species
CCGUAGGGUGAACCUGCGGAAGGAUCAUUACGUUCAGUAGCCUAGCUACUGGUCAGUGGGGGCUCGUUAGUCUGCAUAGCUUAAACGCUGAUGAGCAGCAGGCCCCCUGUCUUCACCCUUGUUUUUUGCGUACCCAUGUUUCCUCGGCGGGCUUGCCCGCCGGCUGGACAAAACUAUAACCUAUUUAAUUUUCAAUCAGCGUCUGAAAUAAUUUUAAUAAUUACAACUUUCAACAACGGAUCUCUUGGUUCUGGCAUCGAUGAAGAACGCAGCGAAAUGCGAUAAGUAGUGUGAAUUGCAGAAUUCAGUGAAUCAUCGAAUCUUUGAACGCACAUUGCGCCCCUUGGUAUUCCAUGGGGCAUGCCUGUUCGAGCGUCAUUUGUACCCUCAAGCUUUGCUUGGUGUUGGGUGUUUGUCUCUUCCCUUGUGGGGAGACUCGCCUUAAAGUAAUUGGCAGCCAGUGUUUUGGUAGUAAGCGCAGCACAUUUUGCGUCUUGGUCCCUAAAAUAAUGGCAACCCAUAAGCUCUUUUUCACGUUUGACCUCGGAUCAGGUAGGGAUACCCGCUGAACUUAAGCAUA